rnacentral:ncRNA from 1 species
UAUAAAUUUUUAUGGUUUAAAAAAUUUAUUUAAAAAUUUAUUUUACAUAUAAAUUUUGGUGUAUAAUUUAAUUUAUUUAAAAAAUAAAUUAAAUUUUUUAAUAGUAAUUAAUAUUAAAAAUUUAAGUAAUUAAGAUUUAGUAAUAUGAAAAUUAAUAACAAAUUUUGUGCCAGCAGUUGCGGUUAUACAAAAAUUAAAUUAAAUUUUUUUGAUUAUUAAUAAAUAAAUUUAUGUUUUAUAUAUAGGUAAAAAUUUAAAUUAUUAGGUGAAAUUUUAAUUUAAUUGAAAUUUAUUUUUAAUUUAUGAUUUAAUAAAUUUUAUAAAAAACUAGGAUUAGAUACCCUAUUAUUAAAAUUUAAAGAUUAAAUGUCAAAAUAGUAAGUAAUAAUUUAUUGAAACUUAAAUAAUUUGGCGGUAUUUUAGUUCAUUUAGAGGAAUCUGUUUAUUAAUUGAUAAUCCACGAAUAAUUUUACUUAAUUUAAAAUUUUGUAUAUCGUUGUUAAAAAAAUAUUUUUUUAGGGGAUUAAUAUUUAAAAUUUAUAAUUUAUAAAUUAAAUCAGAUCAAGAUGCAGAUUAUAAUUAAGAAUAUAAUGGAUUACAAUAAAUUAAUUUAAAUGAAUAUUAAUAUGAAAAUUUAAUUGAAGGUGGAUUUAAAUGUAAUUUUAUUUAUUUUAAUAAAAUGAUUAAUAAUUAAAGUAUGUACAUAUUGCCCGUCGCUUUCAUAUUUAUAGGUAUAUAUUUAUUUUUAAUUAUAUAUUAUUAAAUUAAAUUGAAAUAAGUCGUAACAAAGUAGGGGUAUUGGAAAAUGUUUCUAGAAAGAU